CUACGGGCGGCUCCAGUGAGGAAUAUUGCACAAUGGGGGGAACCCUGAUGCAGCAACGCCGCGUGGAGGAUGACGCAUUUCGGUGUGUAAACUCCUUUUAUAUGUCAAGAAAAUGACGGUAGCAUAUGAAUAAGCACCGGCUAACUCCGUGCCAGCAGCCGCGGUAAUACGGAGGGUGCGAAGCGUUACUCGGAAUCACUGGGCGUAAAGGACGCGUAGGCGGGCUUGUAAGUCAGGUGUGAAAUCCUACAGCUUAACUGUAGAACUGCACUUGAAACUACGAGCCUAGAGUAUGGGAGGGGGAGAUGGAAUUAGUGGUGUAGGGGUAAAAUCCGUAGAUAUCACUAGGAAUACCUAAAGCGAAGGCGAUCUCCUGGAACAUAACUGACGCUAAGGCGUGAAAGCGUGGGGAGCAAACAGGAUUAGAUACCCUCGUAGUC
rnacentral:rRNA from 1 species